UACGGGGGGGGCAAGCGUUGUUCGGAAUUACUGGGCGUAAAGGGCUCGUAGGCGGCCAACUAAGUCGGACGUGAAAUCCCUCGGCUUAACCGGGGAACUGCGUCCGAUACUGGAUGGCUUGAGUUUGGGAGAGGGAUGCGGAAUUCCAGGUGUAGCGGUGAAAUGCGUAGAUAUCUGGAGGAACACCGGUGGCGAAGGCGGCAUCCUGGACCGACACUGACGCUGAGGAGCGAAAGCCAGGGGAGCAAACGGG
rnacentral:rRNA from 1 species